UACGAAGGGGGCUAGCGUUGUUCGGAAUUACUGGGCGUAAAGCGCGCGUAGGCGGCGACCUUUGUCAGAGGUGAAAUCCCGAGGCUCAACUUCGGAAUUGCCUUUGAAACGGGGUUGCUAGAGUCCGAGAGAGGGUGGCGGAAUUCCUAGUGUAGAGGUGAAAUUCGUAGAUAUUAGGAAGAACACCAGUGGCGAAGGCGGCCACCUGGCUCGGUACUGACGCUCAGGCGCGAAAGCGUGGGGAGCAAACAGG
rnacentral:rRNA from 1 species